rnacentral:lncRNA from 1 species
CGGGGGGUCACGAUGUAGGCUUUGGCCUCCUUGCAGUGUCGAUUUUUUCUGUAGAAACGAGGAGUGGAAAAUUGUCAUCCUCGUGCAGCGGACAAAAACUUAAAUUUAUAUAGAAAGAACGUUUGCCAGCAACUUAGACCUAUAUUGACUUCAAAACCACUAUUAUUUACCAAAAACGAGAAAAAAAUUUACUCAAUAAAUAUAGAAACUUACAUUAAGGUGAAGAAAUGCACCCCAGUUCAGAAAUUUGCAUAGAGAAACAAAAAAGCACACAACCUCAUUCAAAAAAAAAAUUGCAUCGAGUAGAGUAGAGAUGCACAAUUGUGUGAAUCUGUACCUUUGUUGGGUCUGAUCUCUUUAGUCUCUAGUUUCCGCACUUUCGGUGAAGCCGUCUUCAGAAUUCUCUAUUUAGCAUCAUUAGCAUUAAUAUUAUAAUUUUAUGUUCCAGAAACCUUUUUGCUGCUAAUGCUUGGGGGAUCAAUUUUCUCAUAUCCACAAUUUGAU